UACGUAGGGUGCAAGCGUUAAUCGGGAUUACUGGGCGUAAAGCGUGCGCAGGCGGUUUUGUAAGUCUGUCGUGAAAGCCCCGGGCUCAACCUGGGAAUUGCGAUGGAGACUGCAAGGCUUGAAUCUGGCAGAGGGGGGGUAGAAUUCCACGUGUAGCAGUGAAAUGCGUAGAGAUGUGGAGGAACACCGAUGGCGAAGGCAGCCCCCUGGGUCAAGAUUGACGCUCAUGCACGAAAGCGUGGGGAGCAAACAGG
rnacentral:rRNA from 1 species